AAGAAGAAGGAAGACCGCACCUGAUCCUAUGUCCAUUUGGGGUGGCGCUGGACGCGUCCCAUCAAUAUCGGUCGAUCUUCCAAACAGUGCGCAAAUUUAGGGGUUUCUGGACUUUUCUUUUUUUUAAAAUAUAGUUUUGGGCGUUGACAUGGCACAUUUUAAAGAGGGCUAAUGAGAGCAGGGAUGUAGUUAUAUAACUAGCCAUGUGUUUAGUUAGGUAACUAGUGGGUUGUAGUUUAGCCACAUGGUGUACAUGUCCAGAACUGUCAUGCGACGUGGUUGUUGGGCUAAUGCGUUGCGAUUUCUUUCGGGCAUGGAUUACACAUUUCUACAAAGGGUUUACCCGGUUUAUUUUAACUCUGGGCAACCCAGUUCAACUUUGAUUUAACGUCGCACGCUGGGUUUUGUAUUUAGUCACGUGUUGGAAGUAAACGUUGCUCUUCACGAGGCGUUGAUGUUUAGCACGGUGGUAAGUGAACCAAAGACGGGGAAGUAUGAAUCUCAAUACCCAAGUGACGGGAGAGCCAUGUGUGCCAGUGGAUCAUAUAGCACCCCUUCGACACCAGCAAGAGACCGAAGAUCGUUGUCGUCACACACUGUUUCAUAACAGACAUCCUCUGACCGUGCCGAGUGGAGAGAGUCAUCCUGUCCAAAUGACCUGAGAGACGUCCAUGCCUUUUUCCAGCACCUCGUCACCACACAGGAGGAGACCAACCGGUCGAUACAUCUAUCAAGCAGUUUCACCAAUCAGACGUGGACAGAGCGCCUCUCUAUCUCCGGUUGGUCGACAGAGACCGUUCGGCCACAAACAGCUACGACACCAAGUGGGAUGCGCCGUUUGACCCUGGGACAGCGAGGGUUACCACACCUACACCACAGAAACAGACCAGGAUCUCACAGCCCACUGCACUUCAUAGGAGUUCAGUUGUCGCAGCCAACUACACUACUGGGGAAGUUUGACAUAUAUUCCUGUAUACCUUUCACCCUGAUCCCAGCAGUCCUCAGGAAUGGUUGGCAGUUCAGGGACGUUGCAGUAGUUGGUGUGAAGAUUCUGAGCCGUCCUUCUCGACACGAUCCAGACAAGCUUUUUAUUGUUUGGUUUGCUACAUUCGGGAGAAGAGUAGUCGGACAUACACUUGGCCACUAGUCCCUUCCAGUGUAGGAGCUCAACGUCAGUGAUCUGUAAAAGACGACCAGGGCAUCAUAACAUUGGACACCGGGUUACAUAAUAGACUGGAGUCAGCAGAAACCCUUCUGGGAUGGAUCCCAAGGCGUUGUAAAAGGAUAGCAGCUGGGAACAUGAGGCCGGGGAAUGUGAAAGCUUUUUUAUUUUUUAUCUUUCCAUAACUGUGCCAGUUGUCAUGUGAAACCUUUUGGACCAGGGUUGUAAGGGCAUACAAUAUUCAGAGAUGGCUCCAGGGGGAAAAAAUAGGUGUAUUUUGUGUACAAAUUUGACAGUUAACACCGGGUUACUGCUGUUUUAAAACAAAGGAUUACAUCCAUGCUAUGUGAUAAAGCUUCAAGGAUGUUCUACAGGGUGUAUAAUGUGUUUACCUUGAGAUGUCUUUGAACAUGAUGUGCUAUUUCUAACAUAUCAACAGACUGCAUGGCUUCAAUCUCCUGAGUGAGGAGUGACAGGGCCAAGACAGACGGCUGGAAGAGAAGAGAAAUGCAUCAUGUUAGACUGCGGCUGCCAAGAGGUCUCCUGAAACAUGUAACAUCUCAUGGACUCUCUGGGGUAAAUCGUUACUUUAGCUUUAGAGAACGCGAUCCGGCAGAGACAGGCUUUGAGCUGGAUCUCUAGUAUGUCGAGAUUCAGGGCCUCCUUCCUGUAAAGGUUAAAUUACAUAUUAGAACCAAUCAGGGUGUGAAAACAGGGUGUCAGGGCUACCUGUUACAUAAUUUAAUUUGUUAUGGUGGAAUGGACACCAUGUUGAUCAUGUCCAGUGAGAAUAGUUAAAACCCAUCGUCCUACUUCCAGUCAGGACUAUAAUAAGUACAUGUCUAGUUCUUUUUUUCCCCUUUAUUUAACUAGGCAAGUCAGUUAAGAAAAAAAUCUUAUUUUCAAUGACAGCCUAGGAACAGUGGGUUAACUGCCUGUUCAGGGGCAGAACGACAGCUCGGGGUUUGAACUUGCAACCUUCCGGUUACUAGUCCAACGCUCUAACCACCAGGCUACCCUGCCGCCCAAGUUAAUUAUUAAUUAAGUUAAUUGUGUCACACUAUUACCACCUUCCAAAUGGAGUUGAUUGCUCUGUGAAUUGUAAUAUAUUUAUAAUGGGUUCUCACAGGUCUGAGGUAUGGGCGCUUGUGAUUCCGUAGUAUAGGUGCAAAAACGUUAAGGCUGUGAUGGUUUUGAGUUGGAAGUUGAGUUUCUCUGAAACGAUCUUCUCCAUGCGAGUGAGGUCCGAGACCGUAAACUUGCACUGGCUGAUACGAAUAAGCUCAUUGGUGGAAGACAAGUUACAAUCCUCUUCGACUGCUUUGGCUGCGAUGUGGAGGCAGCUGAUGCCGACGCAAGCUAGAUAUUUGGGUUGGACCUGAAGAGGAGAGACGCACAAAAGCUUGGAAUUAGUGGAAAUGGGGACAGGCUAUUACUCACAGCAAUUCCCUUUUUAUUUGUAGUUUGUCUAAGGACAUUAUCUCUUUGUCAUCAAAAUAAAUGUAGAACACUUGUCAA